AAUUUAACAAUAAGACAAGGGAAAUUGUUAAUGAUCCGAAGGUGAAAACGCAACACAAAAUAAGCAAAAGACAAAAGCAAUUUAAGGUCUACAAGAGAUUUGUCUGUGUAGUAAUCUCUUCUUACUAUCAGAACACACAUUUCUUAUUUUUUAAAUCUGAAAUUUUAGACAUUUAGACCUCAAAAUGCCAUACAACUGAGAAAUAAAAUAGACUAUUUAUAGAUGCAGACAAAUUGAAUCCUAAAGAAUAAAAAAAGUGGAAAUGACAGGAAAUUCUGCCUCAGCAUAGCAGAACACUGGAACUUAAGCAACCAUCACUGGACUUCAGUGCAUCUGAAUCAGCCAGGUAAAAACUACUGUGCUGAUCUCAGAUACACCCCAUGAGGUCCAAGACAUAAGUUAAGAGCUUGAACAUCGGAAAGAAUGUCCAAACACAAGAAUUAUCAUGAUAAGUAACAGACGUUGAGAGAGGACCAGCGCCAGGGAUUCACAGUAUUGACAGUGAAGAUGCUGGCAAGCAGGAAAAUGA